CUGAAAUGAUGACAUUCCACUUAGUUGGUCCAUGUUUUUGAAUUCGGUGGUAACAGUGGAAGUUCUGGUGUU